rnacentral:misc_RNA from 1 species
GGAAGAACGUAGCGAAAUGCGAUAAGUAGUGUGAAUUGCAGAAUUCAGUGAAUCAUCGAAUCUUUGAACGCACAUUGCGCCCUUUGGUAUUCCUUAGGGCAUGCCUGUUCGAGCGUCAUUUAAACCUUCAAGCUAAGCUUGGUGUUGGGUGACUGUCCGCUUCACGGCGGACUCGCCUCAAAAUUAUUGGCGGCCGGUACAUUGGCUUCGAGCGCAGCAGAAACGCGAACUCGGGCCCGUCGUAUUGGCUCCCAGAAGCUAUCUUCACAAUUUUGACCUCGGAUCAGGUAGGGAUACCCGCUGAACUUAAGCAUAUCAAUAAGCGGAGGA